rnacentral:ncRNA from 1 species
AACAGAAAAAGGCUAACUUGUUGAAAAGCAAGGGCGCAAAGUCACGGGUCUAAGGGGUAGAAAUCCUAUGAUAGCCGGAUUGCCUGG